rnacentral:rRNA from 1 species
CGAAUGCUAAUACCCCCAUAUGCUUUCGAGUGAAAUGGAUUUUAUCCGCCUAGAGAGAAGCUCGCGGCUGAUUAGCUUGUUGUAAGGUAAGAGCUUACCAAGGCGACGAUCAGUAUCNGGUUUGAGAGGACGAUCAGACACACUGGAACUGAGACACGGGUCCAGACUCCUACGGGAGGCAGCAGUGGGGAAUUUUCCGCAAUGGGCGAAAGCCUGACGGAGCAAUACCGCGUGAGGGAAGAAUGCCUAUGGGUUGUAAACCUCUUUUUCAGGGAGGAAUAAAAUGACGUGUACCUGAAGAAUAAGCAUCGGCUAACUCCGUG